rnacentral:lncRNA from 1 species
UCAUUACCAACUUCCACUACUAUAUGCAUCAACUAUGUAAUCUCAUCACAUAUGCUUUGUUAAUUGCAACUACAGAGAAAUUGAUGAACAAACAUCAAAAUUAGUUUGCCAAUUACAAACCAUAUAGUAUGUCCUCUGCUUAAAAGGUAAUAACACAUGUACAUGAUCUACAAUUCUUUGUUGGCAUACUAUCAGUAGGAGAACAAGAAUAUUUCCAGGAAACUGAUUGAUCCAGACAACAUCCUUCAAAACAAUGUGGUACCUGACAUGUGUACAUUAAAAUUAUCGUCAGCAACUCAGAAUUUCCGGACAAGUAAAAUAAGGUGCUUACAAGAUGUCCUCACUAUCAUGUACUGCUUACAUACUUUGUGAUAACCCCGACGAGGAAUAAAAUUCUAAGAAAGUUAAAUAUGAUUGGAUUUCGACUAUCAAUAUGAUACUAGCCCAUCCAAGUGCACGGGUCAACUAUCAAAAUACUUGAUACUCUUUGCAUGUUGUUGUUCUUGGACAAAAUGCUUACAUUUUUCCCUCAUAUUUUUCAGGAUUAACUACCUGCAGUCAGCAUGCGUCGAACUCGCAAUGGACUUGACAAAAACAACAAUAGGUAUUCGUUACCACAAUAUAAAAACAAUUUUAUACCCAUUAAUUUACCUAGAUUAUUAAAAUGGCACCAAAAUCUAAUGCAGCAAUGAAAGACCUGACAAAGCAACCUCCAAACUUGCCACUCUACAAUCUAAUGAUAAUCAACCAGACAUCAUUAGAGCAGCAAUGAAGGAUGCUGCACGGAAAAGGAAAGAAAUACUUCAGCAGAAAAGGAAUCAGGUGCUUAUAAGAUGUCCUCACUAGCAUGUACUUAAUUUUUUUUGUGAUGUUCCCAAUGAGGAAUAGAUUUUAAUUUCUACAGUCAAGGUUAAAUAUUCAGUGAGAAAUAUCACAUGGGGUACAUGCCAGAUCUUUGGCUCCAGAAAGGAAAUACUGCUAACUUCCAUAUACUUAAUUCUAUCUGCAUGUUGUUGCUCUCAAACAAAGCGUUACAAUUUUUUCCCUCAUUUCAGGAUUCACUAGCUGCACUCAACUUGCGUCGAAGUAACGGUGGACCAAAUCAAAACAACAGAAGGUAUUCAUUACCCCAAUACCAAAAAAUAAUUAUAUAGACAUUAAUUUACCUGGAUUAUUCAAAUGAUACCAAAAUAUAAUGCAGCAAUAUAUUGGGUGAUCAAACAAUACAAAUACCUGAGCAAGGAACCUCGCAGCUUGCGACAGUAGAAUCUAAUGAUAGUCAAUCAGAUAUUAUCAGAGCAGCAACGAAGGAAGCUAGACGAAAAAGGAAAGAGAUACUCCAGCUGAAAAGGGAAAGGAAACGAAUAAGGACGGAAAAGGACAAUAAUGGCUGUGAAGUAUCAAAUAUAGCAAAGGAUGUCACUCAAGUUUCAAAUUUUGGAAAACCAAAUUGCGUUUGUGAAUUUUGCAAUGUCAUUAUGUGGCAUGGAGAGAGAAGCACAAACACACGUAACAUCACAGUUCCAAAAUUUGGUCUCUGCUGCAAGGAAGGGAAAAUUAAAUUACCACCACUGAAGCAAGCUCCGUUGUAUCUCCGACAGCUACUACGUUACAAUGAAAGAGGAGAGUCAUCCAAUUUUCGCCAGAACAUCAGGUUGUACAACUCCAUGUUCGCGUUCACUUCAAUGGGAGGAAAGGUUGACUAUGAAAUUAAUAAGCAGACACCUGGACCAUAUGUUUUCCGUUUGAAUGGCCAAAACUACCAUCAGAUUGGCACUUUACUUCCUAAAGAUGACGUGAUGAAACCAAAAUUUGCCCAAUUGUACAUACAUGACACAGAAAAUGAAGUGCGUAACAGGAUUACUGCAUCAACUUCAAUGGAGAGUAAGACAAAGCCAGAUGAAAACAUUGUCAAAGGUCUACUAGAGAUGCUAGAUGAGCACAAUGUUUUAGUCAAAUCGUUUCGUAUGGCAAGGGACAGGUUCGAAAACCGAGAAAUUAAAGAUGUAAGACUAAGAUUGAUCAACAAAAGGUCAAAAGAUGGACGGCAAUACAACCUCCCAUCUGCCUCAGAAGUUGCAGCACUAAUUAUCGGGGAACAAGAUGGAGAAAAUAAUGAAUUUGAUAUAAUAAUUGAGACCAAAGACAGAAUGUUACAGAGGAUUUCAGAGUUGCACCCAAGCUAUAUGUCAAUGCAAUACCCCUUGCUUUUUCCAUAUGGAGAAGAUGGGUUCAGACCAGAAAUAGAGUAUCAAAAAAAGAGAGGCGACAAGUGUAAGAGAAAGUAUGUAACAAUACUGGAGUUUUAUGCAUAUCGCAUCCAACAACGUCUUAACCAAGCAACAACCUUGCAAAUGAGUGGACGUUUGUUCCUACAGUUCUUAGUUGAUGCAGCAACGUGCAUUGAACAAUGGAGACUAAAUUGGUACAGGACAAACCAAGGUAAGCUGAGGACAGAACUAUACAAAGGACUGCAUGAUGCAAUAGAAAAUGGAGAUACACGAACUGAACAAGUUGGCCAAAGAAUCAUACUACCCUCAACAUAUAAUGGUAGCCCUAGAAAUAAGCAGCAAAACUACCAAGAUGCCAUGGCGAUUUGUCGUUGGGCUGGCUAUCCUGAUCUCUUCAUCACUUUUACAUGCAAUCCGAAAUGGCCGGAAAUACAGGAUAUGUUGGAUCUGAUUCCAGGCCAGAAACCUGAAGAUCGUCCAGACAUUGUUGCCAGAGUAUUCAUGUUAAAACUGAAGGAACUUAUGUAUGACAUAAAGAACGAGAAGUGUUUUGGACAAACAAUUGCGAGUAAGUUUACCAACCAACUACAGAUUUACUAUUGCCUAGAUGAUUGUCCAAAAUCAUUUCUUCUAAAAUUUCUUUACUUGCAUGCAGUUGUCUACACGAUAGAGUUCCAAAAAAGAGGCCUCCCUCAUGCACAUAUACUGGUGUUUCUACAUCCAGAUGAUAAAGAUCCCAGUCCUUCCCAGAUCGACAAAAUCAUAUCAGCCGAAAUUCCUGACAAGAAUAGUGAUCCAGAUGGGUAUGAAGCAGUGCAAAAUUACAUGAUACAUGGUCCCUGCGGUCAAGCACACCCAAAAUCACCAUGCAUAGUCGAUAAAAGUUGUGCCAAACAUUUCCCCAAGAGGUUUUGCACUGAAACUACAAUAGAUGAAGAUAACUAUCCAGUAUAUAGAAGACGAGAUGAUGGCAAUACUGUGGACAAAAACGGAGUGAAGCUAGACAAUAAAUUUGUUGUGCCAUACAAUAGAAACAUACUGGUCAAGUAUCAAGCCCACAUAAAUGUUGAAUGGUGCAACAGAUCAAGGUCUAUAAAGUAUUUAUUCAAAUACAUCCACAAAGGAGAAGAUCGAACAACUGUAUUAAUAGAAACAGAAGAGCAACAAAGAGAAACAAGAGGUGGCAAAUUAACAAACAGGGACGACGAAAUCAAGAGAUACCUUGAUGCUUGGUACAUUUCUGGAUGUGAAGCCGCAUGGCGCAUAUUUCAGUUUCCUCUUCAGUAUAGAGAGCCUGCGGUUGAAAGGUUACAAUUUCACCUAGAAAAUGAACAUGUUGUGGUAUUCCCAGACUCGAUGGAUUUAGAUAAAAUCAUAUAUCGGCCUAACAUAGAAAAGACUAUGUUCACAGAAUGGAUGACAGCCAACCAAUUGCAUGAGGAAGCUCGCAGUUUGACGUAUGCACAGUUUCCAACCAAAUGGACUUGGCAUGCAAAAGAGAAAGAAUGGAGGAAAAGACGUGGUGGUAAAAAAACCAUAGGCAGGAUUUACUAUGCACAACCAACAAGCGGUGAAAAAUACUACUUGAGAAUGCUUCUAAAUACCGUGAAAGGAUGCAGAUCCUAUGAAGAAACCCGAACAGUUGAUGGGGCUGUAUAUCCAACAUACAAAUCUGCAUGUUAUGCUCUUGGGCUACUUAAUGACGACAAGGAGUGGGAUGACUGCAUCAAGGAAGCAUCCCAUUGGGCCUCUGCUCCUCAAAUGCGCCAACUUUUCUGCACAAUACUUUUAUUUUGCGAGGUGACUGAUCCUGCAAAGUUGUGGCAAACAAACUGGGAGUUACUAUCUGAGGACAUCCAACGUCGGCAAAGAAGAAUACUCAAUUUUCAGGCCCUAGAACUCAAC